GCUCUCACCUCACUCGCACGUCCCCUUAGAGGAAGGGCAAGGGAACGAUCUCCUGGAGGCAGAAACCACAACACAGAGAAGCACUCUCUCCCAGACACCAUAACCUAACCAAUAUGCCGACUGGAAGCCAAUCUACAGAUCGCCCUGAUAGGGAGUCGUCUGAGGGAAAACUUGGAAAUGUGUCCUUGUCAGGACAAGGACAAGGACAAGGCUGAGUGAGGUUCAUGUUGUCUUGUCUAAUCUGUUCAGAAGCCACAGAUAAUGUGGGGUCCUGCUCCUCAGAGGACACAAGGCCUUCAACCUCAGCUCUUGGCCUGGUGUGGCCAUCCCUCUCAAAGUUGGUAAGGAAAACCUUCCCCUUCCCCUUGGGGAUUUUUCUUCUCCUUUUAGCCCACUCCCUCCCCUCCCCUUGGGUUCACUGCUGUUCAAUCCGUGACACAUAUGUCAAUCAUUUGUUCCACUGCAUUUGACAACUCUGGAAUUAGGGAUGGCAAAUGAGAUAUGCAUUUGGGCCCUGCCAGAUGGGCUCCUCUUAGCAAAUCUCUUGUGUGUUCUAAGAGCAGCUCUGGUUUCUUCUUCAAGGUUUUAACACUUAGGAAUUACAUUUAUCUUCCUGUAAGAGGGAACUGAUCGAUGUGGCCUAAACAAGAUACAGAUUUAUUUCUCUCUCAUGUUAAGAAAGAAAGAAAAACAGAGAAAAUUGAGAAUAAGGCAGCACCUGGGAUCCUUCUAUGCUUCUGGUCUGCCAUUCUCAGCACAUGGCCUGCACAGAGUGGCUUCCUCGUGGCUGCUGGAGCUCCAGUCAUCACGUUUAUAUUCCAAGCAGCAGGGUAGACAAAUAGCCAAAGAGCUUCCAUAUACAUCUCACACCUAGCUGGAUGGGAGACUGGAAACUGUAGUUUGUCACCUGAGCAUAUUGUCCAGGGCCCUGCUGCUGAGGAAGAAGAGUAGAAUGAAUAUUGGGCAGGCACCUGGGAGUGUCUGCCACAGAGGCAAUCAGAGUGGUGGUGAGCAGUGGAGGCAUUGGCACCAGAUACCAUCAGUUCAAGUCCUUUGCUCCACUAACUUGGGCAAGUUACUUAAUUCUCUCUGUUAUUCUAUGUCCUCAUCUACCCGCUGGGAGUAACCAGAGGGCUGACCUCUGGCAAGGCUAUUAUAUAUAGUUUGAUUAUUGGAUGGAUUGCAUAGGAAGCUAUGGUGCCCUGGCGCAUAGUAAGUGCUUGGGAACUGCUGGUUAUUAUUAUUCAUCUGCCUAUAGUGACAUUAUUGAUGCCCUGCUUGGUAUGCGCUUUGCCUAGAGGAGGAAUUGUGCUUGGGCUCAGCUGAGGGUGAGGGGCAGAGGAAGGUUGCAAUGCAUAUCUUUAAUUUUUCAAUCCCAGGGCCCAAGAAUUUCAAGUCACUUUGGAAUGUCCUUUCCUUGUCCUCUCCCUCUUCCCACUAGAAGGGCUGAGGUACAGGAAGUACUGAGGAGGUGAUGCAGAAUGAUGCCUCCAUGUCCUUUCUAUCCCUCUCCAGCCCCAAGAUAUCAAAAAUGUCAGCCCUCCCACCUGGUGGUUGCCAAGGGUAAUUGUGGAUAACCCCCACCCCAGGGGCAGGGGCAUCCACUGGCCUUUGCCCCAAAUAAUUUACAGUCUGCAACAGGAGUCAGCAAACUACAGCCUGUAGGCCAGAUUUAGCCUGACAGCUAUU